CCGGGGCAGAAGGAGAAGUUGGAGGCGGCGGCGGCGGCCGCGGGGAGUGCGGUGCUGAGCGGAGCUGGGCGGCGAGGGGAGCAGCGGCUAACCUGCUCCUCGGACAUCGCUGUUGCGGCAGCAUCACGUCGCUUCGUCCGCAUGACGCCUCUAACCCCGAGCGGGACACGAGGUGCAGCCACACGCCGAGGAAUCCCACACCCGUCCGUCUGUCCGUCCGUCCGUCUGCUGGUUUGACAUCGGCCCCUGAGCGAGAGGUGGGAUGCUGGUAGGGCACAGCCGCAUGGUGCGGGCGGCAGCGGGCCAAGGAGGGAUGGAUCUCCUCUUUCUGGCCCAGUUUGUUUCCGAAGUCAAUAAAUGCUUACGGACACCGUCGCAAGUUAAAGGGAUGCUUUAUCCCAGCUGGUGACGUCUUGAUACCCAGUGAGUGACUAACUGAACUGCUAUUGCCAAGGGUGUGUUAAUAGAAGAAACCAUGCCUGGUAUUGCCCUGGAUGAGUCACCUUUAAAGAGAGACUCUGUAAUCUGUUAAACGAGAAGCAGCAACGAGCUUUGCUUUCCUUCUUUGCUGUUUGCUUCCCAUCGCACCCCGCACCUUUGCUCGCUCUUUCCUGCUCCCACCCACGGGGCCGCCUGUCCCUCUGUCACCGUGGUGUCACACAGCUGAGGAGCACAGCACAGGGGCUGCUCACCGGGCAGCACAGCUGUCGCUGGGAGUGGAGGAAGUGACGAGGCAAAUUGCUGCUCGAGCAAAGUUCUCUUUCGAUUUUGAACCCAUAAAGAAGCUGGGUGGUUGGAAAGUGUCCUGUUAGGUUAUGGCAUGGCUUCGUCUCCUGCUUACACUAAUUGCAUGCAGGCAGUGCCCUCCGGGCUUUCCAGAAGGGCCUGGGUAGCCUCUGUUGUGGCUGUGUUGCUUGCAUGUAACCCUGGGCUGUUGCAGCAGUGUUGUCAGUAAGCGCUUAACGUACAGAAAGGCAGCACAACAUCCUUCUUGCAGACCCAAGUCUCCCAUACAGAAGUGCUGCCUGUCUCCGCCUCCCCUGCCUUAUUCCUUUGACAUUUCUCCUUCCAGGUCCCAGAGGAGCUAUCUGCUCAUCAGGAAGGAAAAUGCAGGAAGGAGGCAUGCUUUGCAUGCCUUGUGCAGAGCAAGUGAGUCUAGGUUGCUCCUGCACUCCGGAAAGCUGCCUGAAUUUACCAAAGCUGCUUUUACACUUGUUCUGUAGCUCGGUGCCUGGCUGCUGGGGAUCCCACUGGCAGAAAUGGCUCUGCAGGUCGCUUUGAUAAGGUUGGUCCUGCUUCCCAUCAGGCAGCACUUGGUAUGAAAACUUGUGACUUCCCUCCACCGACCAUCCUGUUCGGUUUCAGUAAGCAAAGGCAAGGGAUUGAAUGAAGUUUGUUUGCAUUUCCUUUCUUUUUCUUGUGCUUCCCUCCCAGUAAGUGGGGGAAACGUAUCACUGAAUUCCUGUUUUUAACAUUCUUUUGGCAUGAUUCAAAACUAAAGUACUGUGCUGUCACCUGAAGUGUUCAAUAAACGGUGCAAAACCAGUGUC